rnacentral:rRNA from 1 species
GACGAACGCUGGCGGCGUGCCUAACACAUGCAAGUCGAACGGAGAUAUCCUUCGGGAUAUCUUAGUGGCGAACGGGUGAGUAACGCGUGGGUAACCUGCCCUUUUAUCGGGGAUAACUUGCCGAAAGGUGAGCUAAUACCGGAUGUCCUAUCUUGGACACAAGUCAAAGAUAGCAAAGGUGGCCUCUUUAAAUGCUACCGUAAAAGGAUGGACCCGCGUCUGAUUAGCUAGUUGGUGAGGUAAUGGCUCACCAAGGCGACGAUCAGUAGCCGGCCUGAGAGGGUGAACGGCCACACUGGGACUGAGACACGGCCCAGACUCCUACGGGAGGCAG